GCCAGUUAUUGGUUCACCUAUCUCAGCUGCAGUUGCAGCAAUGGAAAAAGAGUCCUUUCAACUGUAAAAAAAGUACCUUCUUUUCUAUUACUGAACUCAACAGUGAGUUUUGUUCCUGUUUCUGUUCCACAGCAGCAUCUUGGGAAGAACAUACUUUUAGCUUUGGACAUAUAAACAGCCUUUGUUUAUCCAAGUGUAUCAACACAUCUCAAUGGAGCAUGAGCAGCAGUUUCACAACUUGCUGUAUUACAGCAGGAUCAGCACUUUCUGUCCUACCCCUUGGUGCUGCACCCAGCCCGGAUGGCUCUCGGUCACCUGGCUGCUUCCCAUCCUCCAGACAUCGCCUCCCGCGAGCCCUGCCUGAAUCCAGACACGACAGCUGGGAGACAGAUAGUGUAAGGAGUACAUCCAAGAGGUGAACAAGCAUUUUCAUCCAAAACAGAGUGUCCUUCCACCAGUAUAAUCCAUGAUUUCCCUAGUA
rnacentral:lncRNA from 1 species